AUACGGAGGGUGCAAGCGUUGUUCGGAAUUAUUGGGCGUAAAGGACGCGUAGGCGGUAAUGAAAGUCAGGUGUGAAAUACUUUGGCUCAACUGAAGAACUGCAUCUGAAACUUCAUAACUAGAGUACAGAAGAGGGAAACGGAAUUCCCGGUGUAGAGGUGAAAUUCGUAGAUAUCGGGAGGAACACCAGUGGCGAAGGCGGUUUCCUGGUCUGAUACUGACGCUGAGGCGUGAAAGUGUGGGGAGC
rnacentral:rRNA from 1 species